CAGAACAUGACAUGGGUCCAGCCCUCCCUGGGCUCAUUUAAGAGCUAGCCUGCCAAGAGAGCCUGUUUCCUGGAUGAAGGUUGCUUUCUAAGGUGAAGUGGUCUGUGACUAGUGACCCUAGAACUGGCUGGGCAAGCCAAGAUAGAACAGAAGAGUCAAAAGAAGCUGUAAAUGAAACUAGCAUUUCCAGUAUAUUUCUUCUUUAGAUGAAUAGUAUAAAUUUGAAACAAUUUCAAAUAAUUAAAAUACGCUAAAUAUAUGGCGUACAUUGCCACUCCCGCUGUUGUAAAUCGGUUUACCUUUGCUGCAUUUAUAUCUCUAGGAUUUAACUUUGUAUGAAUAGAAAGAAAUAUGAUGUGUAAGAUGUGUGUUUAUAUGAAAGCUGUACUUUCUUCCAAGAGAAUGUAUGCAACUUUGACUUGUUUUGUACCAAACAAACAAAAAAACCAAAUAAACAAAAAGAUUAAAAGAAAAUGGCCUG
ensembl:lncRNA